rnacentral:rRNA from 1 species
AGAACGAACGCUGGCGGCGUGCUUAACACAUGCAAGUCGAGUGCGCGUCUGUAGCAAUACAGAUGGCGCACGGCGCACGGGUGCGUAACACGUGGGUAAUCUGCCCUCUGAUGGGGAAUAACUCGCCGAAAGGCGAGCUAAUUCCGCAUAAUAUUCCGAGAACUUAGGUUUUGGACUGAAAGGCGUAAGUCGUCGGAGGAGGAGCCCGCGCACGAUUAGCUAGUUGGUAGGGUAAUGGCCUACCAAGGCUUUGAUCGUUAGC